UACGUAGGGCGCGAGCGUUGUCCGGAAUUAUUGGGCGUAAAGAGCGUGUAGGCGGCCAGGUAGGUCCGCUGUGAAAACUCGAGGCUCAACCUCGAGAUGUCGGCGGAAACCAUCUGGCUAGAGUCCGGAAGAGGAGAGUGGAAUUCCUGGUGUAGCGGUGAAAUGCGCAGAUAUCAGGAAGAACACCCGUGGCGAAGGCGGCUCUCUGGGACGGUACUGACGCUGAGACGCGAAAGCGUGGGGAGCGAACAGG
rnacentral:rRNA from 1 species